rnacentral:misc_RNA from 1 species
GAAAAUUAUGGUGUUGCUAUAACUUGAAACAGACAGAAUCUAAGUUUUGAAGUCAAUUUGAUUACAAUAUCAGGUUAUUAUACACCUCUUGAACGUUUCAUGAGACGAAUGAACAAAUCAUGCAAUUUAUUAAGCUCCAGAUCCAUCAGCAUAAUAAUGAGUGAUGAUCAUGACCCUCUCUUGGGGCAGAAUUUUAAAGGAUUUAGAGAUGCCCAAACCAUCAGCUCUUUUGGAUUCCACUCGGCCAUGUCUGAUUCUUGACAGGGCUCAGAAUAGCUUCAAUCUCAGCUAGUGUUUCUUGAUCCUUUCCAAAUUUAGCAAGUUCUAUGGCAGCAGUAACAUUUUCCUCGACCAGAUUUUCACCAAGAUAUUCUGGAGAGUCCACAACAUAGUGAUCUCAUUCUUCCUUCUGUUUUAACCAUGGCAAGAUUUUCCAAUUCUCUCUGUCACACACAUUAGGGAAAAGCUUCUUAACACUCAAAUGAACACAGCCUAGUGAUCAUGUGAACAUGAGGAUAGGAGAGUGAAUCGGUCCAUGAUGAGAUUAAAUAAUCUUAAGAAAGUAAAGUAUUUUUGACUUUGCAGUCUUACUUCCCAAGAAACAGGUUGAAUACUAUCAGGGUAAAGUAUUAGAAAAAGUGAAGCAAACAAAACUGAAUUUAACACUUGUAUAUCAAAGAAAAUGUAGCACUUAAGGCAAAUUAUGAAUGAGAACCUGUCCAACAGAGUUCAUGC